GAUGAAGAACGUAGCGAAAUGCGCUAAGUAGUGUGAAUUGCAGAAUUCAGUGAAUCAUCGAAUCUUUGAACGCACAUUGCGCCUCCUGGUAUUCCGGGAGGCAUGCCUGUUCGAGCGUCAUCAAAAACCUCAACCCAUGAUUUAUUGUGAGUUGGUUCUGCAUUGGACUCCUUGUGGGUCCUUUGCGAAAUCCAAUGGCGAAGAGCCACGCAACCAAAGCGUAGUAUAACUAUUUCGUUAUGGAAGCGUGGGUGCCUCUGCCGUAACCCCCAAUUUCUUAGUUUUUGACCUCGGAUCAGGUAGGGAUACCCGCUGAACUUAAGCAUAUCAAUAAGCGGAGGA
rnacentral:misc_RNA from 1 species